rnacentral:rRNA from 1 species
GACGAACGCUGGCGGCGUGCUUAACACAUGCAAGUCGAACGGAAAGGCCCUGCUUUUGUGGGGUGCUCGAGUGGCGAACGGGUGAGUAACACUUGAGUAACCUGCCCUUGACUUUGGGAUAACUUCAGGAAACUGGGGCUAAUACCGGAUAGGAGCUCCUGCUGCAUGGUGGGGGUUGGAAAGUUUCGGCGGUUGGGGAUGGACUCGCGGCUUAUCAGCUUGUUGGUGGGGUAGUGGCUUACCAAGGCUUUGACGGGUAGCCGGCCUGAGAGGGUGACCGGACACAUUGGGACUGAGAUACGGCCCAGACUCCUACGGGAGGCAGCAGUGGGGAAUAGUGCACAAUGGGCGGAAGCCUGAUGCAGCAACGCCGCGUGCGGGAUGACGGCCUUCGGGUUGUAAACCGCUUUCGCCUGUGACGAAGCGUGAGUGACGGUAAUGGGUAAAGAAGCACCGGCUAACUACGUG